UACAGAGGUCUCAAGCGUUGUUCGGAUUCAUUGGGCGUAAAGGGUGUGUAGGUGGCGCCGUAAGUCGGGUGUGAAAUCUCGGGGCUUAACUCCGAAACUGCAUUCGAUACUGCGGUGCUUGAGGACUGGAGAGGAGACUGGAAUUCAUGGUGUAGCAGUGAAAUGCGUAGAGAUCAUGAGGAAGACCAGUGGCGAAGGCGGGUCUCUGGACAGUUCCUGACACUGAGACGCGACAGCGUGGGGAGCAAACAGG
rnacentral:rRNA from 1 species